GUGGGGUGACUGCGUACCUUUUGUAUAAUGGGUCAGCGACUUAUAUUCUGUAGCAAGGUUAACCGAAUAGGGGAGCCGGAGGGAAACCGAGUCUUAAUUGGGCGUUAAGUUGCAGGGUAUAGACCCGAAACCCGGUGAUCUAGCCAUGGGCAGGUUGAAGGUUGGGUAACACUAACUGGAGGACCGAACCGACUAAUGUUGAAAAAUUAGCGGAUGACCUGUGGCUGGGGGUGAAAGGCCAAUCAAACCGGGAGAUAGCUGGUUCUCCCCGAAAGCUAUUUAGGUAGCGCCUCGUGAAUUCAUCUCCGGGGGUAGAGCACUGUUUCGGCUAGGGGGCCAUCCCGGCUUACCAACCCGAUGCAAACUGCGAAUACCGGAGAAUGUUAUCACGGGAGACACACGGCGGGUGCUAACGUCCGUCGUGAAGAGGGAAACAACCCAGACCGCCAGCUAAGGUCCCAAAGUCAUGGUUAAGUGGGAAACGAUGUGGGAAGGCCCAGACAGCCAGGAUGUUGGCUUAGAAGCAGCCAUCAUUUAAAGAAAGCGUAAUAGCUCACUGGUCGAGUCGGCCUGCGCGGAAGAUGUAACGGGGCUAAACCAUGCACCGAAGCUGCGGCAGCGACGCUGAUGCGUUGUUGGGUAGGGGAGCGUUCUGUAAGCCUG
rnacentral:rRNA from 1 species